UUAGACGUAAACUUUAUACCCCAUAUACCAGAGUACUACGAAUCCAUAAAUUUAAAACUCAAAGAGCUUGGCGGUGCUCUAGACUCUUCAGGGGAACCUGUCUCAUAAUCGACAAUCCACGAAUCGACCUCACCUUCUUUAGCCUCUCAGUAUGUAUACCGUCGUCGCCAGGUAACUUUUAAAAACAAAGAAGUUAGCAAAAAAGCUAUCUAAGCUUCAACGUCAGAUCAAGGUGCAGCCUACAAGAAGGAGAAGAUGGGUUACAAUUAACACUUAUAACUACGGAUAUCGACCUUAAAAAUCCUUUGAAGGAGGACUUGAAAGUAAAGCCUAGCAGUCAAAUGCUUUGAAUUAAGCUCUGGAGCG
rnacentral:rRNA from 1 species